UACAGAGGUCUCAAGCGUUGUUCGGAUUCAUUGGGCGUAAAGGGUGCGUAGGCGGCGCGGUAAGUCGGGUGUGAAAUCUCGGGGCUUAACUCCGAAACUGCAUUCGAUACUGCCGUGCUUGAGGACUGGAGAGGAGACUGGAAUUUACGGUGUAGCGGUGAAAUGCGCAGAUAUCAGGAGGAACACCAAUGGCGAAGGCAGCUCGCUGGGACGUGACUGACGCUGAGACGCGAAAGCGUGGGGAGCAAACAGG
rnacentral:rRNA from 1 species